rnacentral:rRNA from 1 species
UACGUAGGGUGCGAGCGUUAAUCGGAAUUACUGGGCGUAAAGCGUGCGCAGGCGGUCUGUUAAGACCGAUGUGAAAUCCCCGGGCUUAACCUGGGAACUGCAUUGGUGACUGGCAGGCUUUGAGUGUGGCAGAGGGGGGGUAGAAUUCCACGUGUAGCAGUGAAAUGCGUAGAGAUGUGGAGGAAUACCGAUGGCGAAGGCAGCCCCCUGGGCCAACACUGACGCUCAUGCACGAAAGCGUGGGGAGCAACAAG